rnacentral:rRNA from 1 species
AUGUUUCAACUAUGUUACGACUUACCUAAUCUUUAGAUUAGGGUGACGGGCGAUAAGUGCACCUUGAUUCUUUUCAUUUAUUUAUGUUAAAGGAAAAUUACUAUUAAAUUCUGAUUUCCAUUUUUUUUUAAUUUUGUUCCUUAAUUGAAAAUUAUUGAGACCCAUUUAUCCUUAAAAAUAAGCUUAACCUUGACCUGUCUUUAAAGAAAUGUUCUUAGUAAUUUAAAUUUUAAAAUUUAAUUUGGACGGAGGUAUAAAGGCUUUUAUAAUAAGUGAAAAUUAACGUGAAGUAUCGAUUAAAAAACAGGUUUCUCUAAUUGUAUAAAAAGGCCGCCGUUAUGCUUUGGUUUUUAAAAUUAUAUUACCAUUUUUUGUUAUUCAUAGAAGGGUAUCUAAUCCUUGUUUGAUGAAAUAAUUUUUUUUCUGUUAUAGGAAAAUUAUCUCUAAAAAUAUUUCACUAUAAAAAGUAAAAUUAAGUGUGAUUAAUUUAAUUGAGAAAUUUAGCUUAAGAAUAUUCAUAAAGUUUAACCGCGGAUGCUGGCACUUUAUUUUCCUGAAAAAUAAGAAUAGUAUUAGUUAUGGUUAAAAUUUUUUUUUAUAUUGAAAAAUAGUUAAUGAUAAACUUUUCUUUUAACU